GGAUUAGAUACCCUGGUAGUCCACACCGUAAACGAUGAGUGCUAGAUGUCGGGUUUUUUAUUCGGCGUUGAAGCUAACGCGUUAAGCACUCCGCCUGGGGAGUACGGUCGCAAGACUAAAACUCAAAGGAAUUGACGGGGGCCCGCACAAGCGGUGGAGCAUGUGGUUUAAUUCGAUGCUACGCGAAAAACCUUACCAACUUUUGACAUAAUAAGUCGCGGAAGACAGAGAUGUUUUCCUUCAGUUCGGCUGGACUUAUUACAGGUGUUGCAUGGCUGUCGUCAGCUCGUGCCG
rnacentral:rRNA from 1 species